GAAACAUUUCAAUAACUAUUGAGGAGUCAUUGAGGUGAUCGGCGUGGAUAAUUGGAGGUUUUUGUGACACUAAAAAUGGGUCUCCACUCAUUUUCAGAGAGCACGUGUGUGGGACGCUUCCAUCUACAAACCUCCAUAUCCUGACAACUACCAUUCGUAGAGAUUCCCUGAAACUUUAUCAGAUGUGGAGAAUCUGGUCUGUGAUAAUUGAGUGGACUUCAGCCUCGUUUGAAUGAGCAUCGAGACCUUGGAGUGAUGCCAAAUAAUGAGCAAUGAUGAUUAAUUUUUUUUUAUUCCGGUAAAGAGAGUUCAUCAACCGUCGCAGCAUUUGCAAAGCUGUUAUCAGGAUUUAGAAACAUUUACAGCGAUUACGACAGGUUAAUGUUCUUCAGAAACAAUAAGACUAUUAGAAUAAUUGCUCAUUUUUAUUAUUAUAUUUCAUUAAAUAUGUGUUUCUCCCCGAUGAGCAGAAAAUA